UGACUGCUGUGGCGGAGUCAUUGUUAACUCUGUUGCUGUGUAUCCUGGAAUAAUUGGAUUUUGUUCACAAUCUGACUGGAAUAAGUUCGGGAUUUGAACAACAAAGAAGAUCUCUGGGAUUGACUUUACACGCAAUCAACAGAGGACAACGUCGCAUCCAACAGGGAACAUGUACCAGAUGUUGUCGACAGCAAUGCUGAAACGCAGAGGACACUGCAGGAUAUUAGGACACCUUCACAAACCUGUAACAGCCAGUCAGGAAGGGUAAAAGACAACAGGAGUUUCUCUAGGAUCUUCAUGAUGUGGGAUGUCAGGGCAACAGGCCUAUAGUCAUUGAGAAAUGAUGGGACAUAUUUUCUUUGGUACCAGAAGAAGGCAGGAUGUUUUCCACAACAGUGUAACUUUUCCUCGGAAGCCAGAUCUGGUUCGGCCUUCUGUGAUACCUUCCUGGAGAGAAAGCUGAGAUAAUGCUGCCAACAGCUAAACAUUCUCCCUCUCCUUCUAUUAACGUUUCACUUUUCGUUAACAUAGAAAGUUCUUCUACGUCGGUUCAUCUGGUUCUUUUUGUAUCUCUGUUCUUUCUUCUCAAAUCCACAGUACUGAGCCAGGUUCUGGUUCUACUGGAAGGUUCUUCCUGUUAAAGGGAACAUUUUUUCUCUCCACUGUCACUACAUGCAUGCUCGGCAUGAAGGAUUUCUGUAAAGUGAAAGACACAAUGCAAGUGAUUGUCUAUUGUCACGACAUGCUUUACCCAUGAACAAACUUACUUACGUGUGAUUUUCAUCGCGUUUCUUCUCCAAUGGAAACACAGCAAUUGCAAAAUUAGUGGAAUAUUGACAAAGUUUUGCGCACAUCUGUAACGGGAUCACAGCUAAUGACUCAAUGCAAUCUGCAGGGUUUCCUCAGAAAGACAAAAACCAGUUGUGCUGUUUGAUAACUAGAACUGCUUGAAAUGUAUGUGUGAUUCAACUGAAAUGACAUUUCUUGUAAAGUGGCUCAACAUGACAUUUGUUGUGAAUUGGUGCUAUAAAUAAACUGAAUUGAAUUCAA